rnacentral:tRNA from 1 species
GGAGUGGAAGGGUCCCGGUGGGCCUCGCGGUCUUCAAAACCGUUGCGGGGCGGUUGCCCCGUCCCGGGUGGGUUCGACUCCCAUGCACUCCC